rnacentral:rRNA from 1 species
CUACCAUGGCAGUCACGGGUAACGGAGAAUUAGGGUUCGAUUCCGGAGAGGGAGCCUGAGAAACGGCUACCACAUCUACGGAAGGCAGCAGGCGCGAAAAUUGCCCAAUCCUGACACGGGGAGGCAGUGACAAGAAAUAACAACUCUAGGUUUUCUUAGAAGUGUAAUGAGGAUAAUUUACAAACCUUACCGAAUGCAAUUGGAGGGCAAGUCUGGUGCCAGCAGCCGCGGUAAUUCCAGCUCCAAUAGCGUAUAUUAAAGUUGUUGCAGUUAAAAAGCUCGUAGUUGAAGUUCUGAUUGUUCGGGUUUCUAGACAUUAGUCGGAGAUACUGACAGUCAUCCGCUUGCAAACAUAUGUUCGAUCUUUACCGGUUGGCUAUGUGGGUAAGCAUUUUACCUUGAGAAAAACAGAGUGUUCCAGGCAGGUUUGUCCGGAAUGCAUUAGCAUGGAAUAAUAGAAUAUGACUGAAGUCUAUUUAUUGGUUACAGGCUUUAGUAAUGAUUAAUAGGAACAGUCGGGGGCAUUCGUACUCAGCAGUCAGAGGUGAAAUUCUAAGAUUUGCUGAAGACGAACUAAUGCGAAAGCAUUUGCCAAGGAUGUUUUCAUUAAUCAAGAACGAAAGUUAGGGGAUC